rnacentral:tRNA from 1 species
UAUGGCAGAAUAGUGCAAUGAACUUAAGAUUCACAUAUGGGGAAUUAAAUCCCCUAUUAGAAA